CCUCCUCCGCGUCGACAUGUCCUAGGUCCUCCUCCGCAGCAGCAGAUGGAUCUGGCGGAGACUACCUUCCCCGUCCCCUCCACUGCGACCGUGGCCGCUCCGGCACCAGCAGGGCCGCACAGCGGCGGGAGCAAGUCCGUGCUCGACGGGAUCCAAAUUUUGUUUAGCUUCAGACGAAGUUGGUGUAAUCUUCACGAGCUGUGGUGGUUACUGGUUACAGGCAGUGUGAUCAUCCAUGUCACCGUGCUUGGUGGAUAGCCGUCUCCGUUCCUAACUUUUCCUUUUGCAAAGUAUCAUGUUGUGGAUGAUGAUGAUCUGUGAGGUGGUAUGAUCUACGAGGAGGUGCAUUUCCCUUUAUUUUAAUAAGAUGUUUGGAAGGCUCCUGUGCUGAUGCUGCUCCCUGUUGCACUUGAAGAUGUAGAUUCAUGUCAAGUUGAUCUCAGCUGCUAAAAGGGUGGUAUAUUCAUGAACCGUGCUGACCUCUGUGUUUCCUAUUUUAGCAAAUGUCGGUGAUUCCUUGCGGAUGUGGAUGAGCAUGCAUCUACUUGUCUAUUUUGUUGUGUCAUCUCGACCCCAGUGUCUUCAUGCCAGAUUGAUGCAUCUUUUGGGAAUUAUGGCACAUCCUAAUUUUCUGUUGCUGUUACUUCACACUUGAAGAACUCUGAAAUGCUCACAGAUUGUUGUUUCUAGAGGUUAUCUCUACUGGAUGCUCUUUUUUGUUUUGGCUGCAGCAAUGCCAUGUAUCGAUAUGCCUGCCUCACAGAUUGUGCUUAAGUUGUUGGACAAGAUUAUGUGUACUUGUUCUAUUUUUUCUUUGUUAAAGAAGGGUCCGAAAUAAUCUAUUGUAUCUUUUAUCAGUUCAUACCGCUGAUGUGUAUGUCAGUU